CCUACGGGGGGCUGCAGUGGGGAAUUUUGGACAAUGGGCGAAAGCCUGAUCCAGCCAUUCCGCGUGCAGGAUGAAGGCCCUCGGGUUGUAAACUGCUUUUGUACAGAACGAAAAAGCUCUGGUUAAUACCUGGAGUCCAUGACGGUACUGUAAGAAUAAGCACCGGCUAACUACGUGCCAGCAGCCGCGGUAAUACGUAGGGUGCAAGCGUUAAUCGGAAUUACUGGGCGUAAAGCGUGCGCAGGCGGUGAUGUAAGACAGUUGUGAAAUCCCCG
rnacentral:rRNA from 1 species